CGUAAAGCAGUCAUUGAGAUCCUCACCUAACAGUUAUUGGGCCCAACUCCAUCUCUACCUUGGGACAUCAAAUAUUAAUAGAGUGGUUGUACCUUUUUGAUGCAAACAAAUCACUGUAACCAGUCGAGAAUGAUCAACACCAGGAAGGCACCUGUAUCUCUACAAUGAUGGAAGAUCUCUGGACUUAAUAUUUAGUAAGGAGAUUUAGGUUUAAGUCUCUUCUAAAUUAACAGAUCUGAUAUCUGACUGAUUAAAUUAGGUCAGCACAUUAAUAUGUCUAACCAUCCUAGUCGGC
rnacentral:lncRNA from 1 species